rnacentral:rRNA from 1 species
GGGGGGAGAACCACAGGGAUUACCUCAGUAACGGCGAGUGAAGCGGUAACAGCUCAAAUUUGAAAUCUGGCCUCACGGUCCGAGUUGUAAUUUGUAGAGGAUGUUUCGAGCAUGGUCUGGCCUAAGUUCCUUGGAACAGGACGUCAUAGAGGGUGAGAAUCCCGUAUGCGGUCAGGUGCCUACGCUCAUGUGAAACUCCUUCGACGAGUCGAGUUGUUUGGGAAUGCAGCUCAAAAUGGGUGGUAAAUUUCAUCUAAAGCUAAAUAUUGGCCAGAGACCGAUAGCGCACAAGUAGAGUGAUCGAAAGAUGAAAAGCACUUUGGAAAGAGAGUUAAACAGUACGUGAAAUUGUUGAAAGGGAAGCGCUUGCAACCAGACUUGCGCGCAGCCGAUCAUCUGGUGUUCUCACCGGUGCACUCGGUUGCGCUCAGGCCAGCAUCGGUUUUGGCGGCUGGAUAAAGGCCUCAGGAAUGUGGCUCCUCUCGGGGAGUGUUAUAGCCUGGGGUGCAAUGCAGCCUGCUGGGACCGAGGACCGCGCUUCGGCUAGGAUGCUGGCGUAAUGGUUGUAAGCGGCCCGUCUUGAAACACGGACCAAGGAGUCUAACAUCUAUGCGAGUGUUUGGGUGUCAAACCCAUACGCGUAAUGAAAGUGAACGGAGGUGAGAACCCUUAAGGGUGCAUCAUCGACCGGUCCUGAAGUUUACGGACGGAUCUGAGUAAGAGCAUAGCUGUUGGGACCCGAAAGAUGGUGAACUAUGCCUGAAUAGGGUGAAGCCAGAGGAAACUCUGGUGGAGGCUCGCAGCGGUUCUGACGUGCAAAUCGAUCGUCAAAUUUGGGCAUAGGGGCGAAAGACUAAUCGAACCAUCUAGUAGCUGGUUCCUGCCGAAGUUCCCUCAGGAUAGCAGUGUUGAAUUCAGUUUUAUGAGGUAAAGCAAUGAUAAAGGGCUUGGGGUUGAACAACCUUACCUAUUCUCAACUUUAAUAUGUAAGAGUCUUGUACUUA